GGAGCAUCCAUGAGUAAAGUGGCGUACGGGUGAGUAACACGUGGAUAAUCUGCCCUUUAGUGGGGAAUACCGCUGGGAAACCGGCGACAAUACCGCAUAAGCUCGAGAGAGGAAAGCAGCAAUGCGCUGAAGGAGGAGUCCGCGGUCGAUUAGUUAGUUGGCGGGGUAAAGGCCCACCAAGACUGUGAUCGAUAGCCGGCCUGAGAGGGCACACGGCCACACUGGCACUGAAACACGGGCCAGACUCCUACGGGAGGCAGCAGUGGGGAAUCUUGCACAAUGGGGGAAACCCUGAUGCAGCGACGCCGCGUGAGCGAUGAAGCCCCUCGGGGUGUAAAGCUCUUUCGGCAGGGAAGAUUAUGACGGUACCUGCAAAAGCAGCUGCGGCUAACUACGUGCCAGCAGCCGCGGUAAUACGUAGGCAGCAAGCGUUGUUCGGAGUUACUGGGCGUAAAGGGUGUGUAGGCGGCUUUUUAAGUUUGGUGUGAAAUCUCCCGGCUCAACUGGGAGGGUGCGCCGAAUACUGAGAGGCUAGAGUGUGGGAGAGGAAAGUGGAAUUCCUGGUGUAGCGGUGAAAUGCGUAGAUAUCAGGAGGAACACCGGUGGUGUAAACGGCUUUCUGGACCAUAACUGACGCUGAGACACGAAAGCGUGGGUAGCAAACAGGAUUAGAUACCCUGGUAGUCCACGCCCUAAACGAUGCAU
rnacentral:rRNA from 1 species